rnacentral:rRNA from 1 species
GUGCCAGCAGCCGCGGUAAUACGUAGGGUGCAAGCGUUAAUCGGAAUUACUGGGCGUAAAGCGUGCGCAGGCGGUUCGCUAAGACCGAUGUGAAAUCCCCGGGCUUAACCUGGGAACUGCAUUGGUGACUGGCGGGCUAGAGUAUGGCAGAGGGGGGUAGAAUUCCACGUGUAGCAGUGAAAUGCGUAGAGAUGUGGAGGAAUACCGAUGGCGAAGGCAGCCCCCUGGGCCAAUACUGACGCUCAUGCACGAAAGCGUGGGGAGCAAACAGGAUUAGAUACCCUCGUAGUCC